rnacentral:rRNA from 1 species
CUUGUACACACCGCCCGUCACACCAUGGGAGUUGGUUCUACCUUAAGUCGCCGUGCUAACCGCAAGGAAGCAAGCGCCCACGGUAGGGUCAGUGACUGGGGUG